CCCUCCUUAGAUUGAAGUCCAAAUAAAAAUCUGCAUCAUUGGAUCAAAGGCCACAUAUGUGUGAUCAUCAUCAAUAAAUGAUCAUAAAGUGUGUAUGAACUGCUCUUGCCAUCCUCAUAAUAUGUAACUUCAUGACAUCAUAUCUCUAGAAAGGUGUAAUACAAUGCAAAAGAGCAAGAGGGGUAAGGCCUUGAAUCACCACUAACUUCUGACCUCAGCAAGUACCAGUGGUGUAACAAUAAUCUCGUAAGUGAGAAGGUAUAGAAAAUGUAUUCACAAGUAAAUUCUAAAGUGUGGAGCAAGUGCAAACUGUUGUUGUAUAUUAAAGGCUGGGAAGAAACAAUAUUGAAGAAAUAAUGAUUUUAAUGCAUUUAGGGCUUUCCCCUUUGAUAUUUUAUAAUUUCUUAUGAAUAAAUCAUGAUGGAAGAGAAUAAAUCUAGAGAUACAGAAUCAGAAUAAAUAAAAAUCUAACACUGGAUCCACAUCUUUGGCCAAUGAAUAUAACCACCUCAGACCUCAAUUUCUCUAUACUUAAAAUGAAGACAACAAUUAAUAUUCUUAAGUGUGAAGUAUUCAAUAGAUUUUAAAAUGGAAUCACUACUGUCAACAACACCAGCCCAAACCAACUCUGUCUAGUCCACACUUUGGUGUUGCCUCAGAAUGUACUCAGUAGUUACCAAAAAGUAAUUCUUACAUAUUGACCUAUGUGAAAUUAGCAGGGAGAGAAGCAUGGGAUUAGCACAUAGUCCCAAGACCUCUCUCCUCCUUCAGAGUGCACCUCAUCAAACAAUGCACCCCAAAUUAAGAAUCAGUGUUUCAUUCCAGAACCCAUGAUGUUGCUACCAUCACAGUACCAAAUUGAGAUGCUAUGAAGUCAUUGCACUACCAGUAGGUUACUGCUCUUUUAAAGUUACUGCUUUUAAAUCGUAAAAUAUAUCCCCCGUUCUGCAGUCAUCCCACUUCCCUAGAUGUUGCUUAGAAGCAGAUGAAGGCUCGGACGUCAUCAUUUUGCUGCCCCUAUUGACUCUGCACGCAUUUGAUUUCAGUACCUUAGACAGCUACCUGAUGGCUUCCUGGUAGGCGGGAGCAGCCUCUUCCCUUCCCAUCCUUCCGCUGCAGUCGGUCGGCUUAAUGACACCCUGGACAGCAUCCCUUCCUUCUCUACUGCCGCCAAAGUAAAUGUUGUGGGAACGGGAUCACUGAUACCACUCAGAAAGGAAUGUUACAGGGAUAGCAAUAUUAAGUGUCUGCCUCUGGUAGUAGAAUAUAGGUGCCAAGUGCCCUGCCACAGUUGUUUACACACCUGAGGAACGUGUUCUGGAAGCUGUACUCUUGGGCUUGGACCAUGUGUUGAGACAAAACAGACGUUGUGACCAACCAAGCUGAUGGAGGAAAAGCACAAAAUCCAAUACCAACCUAUAGUUCAGAUCCCAAAGAGAUGCUGAAUUUAUAGCCAAAAAAUUUUUUUUGACAAAUCAAAUGUCAAUCUGAUCGGAACAGCCAACAUCAAAGUUCACAGAAGAAGGACAGGGAAUAAACAACAUUCUCUAGCUGUAUCAUAUUGUCUCAGUUUUUGAACCUCAACCAGGACUGAUCUACCUUCAUCAGACACACUUUUUAAUGGCGCAACAACUCAGUAUUGGUCCCAGACUCUCCAUUCUGCACUGACCAGAAGAGAACAACAAGAGGGAGCAGCAGGAUGUCAAUGGAGGAAAUAUAUCCAUGGCAAACUCAGAGACUGAUGUGUUUAUAUUCAGAAUCAGAUGAGCUUCAAUAUGAAUUUGCAUCUUGCCUCUGUACUGCUUGCUAUUUUUUAAUGAUAGGAGAAAGUAUAACAGUUUAUUUUAAAUAUGAAAUAUAUUGCUAUAUUAUAAAAUAUAUUGUAACUUUCAAUUAACAUUUUGUAUCAAAUUAGUCUUUAGCAGGUACAGUGUCAACCUGCCCUCCCAACGACUGUUUCUGGGUACACAUCACUGUUGGUGACUGCCUGACACCCAGACCAAGAGUCCUCAGCCUCCUGAACUGCCAUAUUCUAAUUCUCUGAGACCUAAUAGAGAUAAAAGAACGUUAUACCCCACUUAGAAGACUAAUUCUAC
ensembl:lncRNA